rnacentral:rRNA from 1 species
CGGCGGACGGGUGAGUAACACGUGGGUAACCUACCUAUAAGACUGGAAUAACUCCGGGAAACCGGGGCUAAUGCCGGAUAACAUUUAGAACCGCAUGGUUCUAAAGUGAAAGAUGGUUUUGCUAUCACUUAUAGAUGGACCCGCGCCGUAUUAGCUAGUUGGUAAGGUAACGGCUUACCAAGGCAACGAUACGUAGCCGACCUGAGAGGGUGAUCGGCCACACUGGAACUGAGACACGGUCCAGACUCCUACGGGAGGCAGCAGUAGGGAAUCUUCCGCAAUGGGCGAAAGCCUGACGGAGCAACGCCGCGUGAGUGAUGAAGGUCUUCGGAUCGUAAAACUCUGUUAUUAGGGAAGAACAAAUGUGUAAGUAACUAUGCACGUCUUGACGGUACCUAAUCAGAAAGCCACGGCUAACUACGUGCCAGCAGCCGCGGUAAUACGUAGGUGGCAAGCGUUAUCCGGAAUUAUUGGGCGUAAAGCGCGCGUAGGCGGUUUCUUAAGUCUGAUGUGAAAGCCCACGGCUCAACCGUGGAGGGUCAUUGGAAACUGGGAAACUUGAGUGCAGAAGAGGAAAGUGGAAUUCCAUGUGUAGCGGUGAAAUGCGCAGAG